rnacentral:rRNA from 15 species
ACAGCCGUUCAUACCACACGGAGAAUACCGGAUCUCGUUCGAACUCCGCAGUCAAGCCGUGUCGGGCGUGCUCAGUACUACCAUAGGGGACUGGGUGGGAAGCGUGCGUGACGGCUGUU